rnacentral:rRNA from 1 species
GGGUGUAGAAUAAGUGGGAGCUUCGGCGCCUUUGAAAUACCACUACCUUUAUUGUCUUUUUACUUAUUCAAUGAGGCGGAGCUGGGAUUAACAGUCCCACCUUUUGGCUUCAAGGUCUUUUACAGGCCGAUCCGGGUUGA